CCAGGGUAGGUUACUGUCUAAAUGUAAUCCAACCAGGGUUGGUUACUGUCUAAAUGUAAUCCAUCCAGGUUGGUUAGGUUACUGUCUAAAUGUAAUCCAGCCAGGUUGGUUAGGUUACUGUCUAAAUGUAAUCCAGCCAGGGUUGGUUAGGUUACUCUCUAAAUGUAAUCCAACCAGGGUAGGUUAGGUUACUGUCUAAAUGUAAUCCAACCAGGGUUGGUUACUGUCUAAAUGUAAUCCAACCAGGGUAGGGUUGGUUACUGUCUAAAUGUAAUCCAUCCAGGGUUGGUUACUGUCUAAAUGUAAUCCAACCAGGGUUGGUUAGGUUACUGUCUAAAUGUAAUCCAUCCAGGGUUGGUUACUGUCUAAAUGUAAUCCAUCCAGGGUUGGGUAGGUUACUGUCUAAAUGUAAUCCAUCCAGGGUUGGUUACUGUCUAAAUGUAAUCCAUCCAGGGUAGGGUAGGUUACUGUCUAAAUGUAAUCCAACCAGGGUUGGUUACUGUCUAAAUGUAAUCCAACCAGGUUAGG
ensembl:lncRNA